UAGGACUCUCGCACCCACGCCCACACCCCAUUCGCAACACACAUCCGAGUAGUCCUCCUAGCCGCCGUCGUUUCAAACCCGGGAGGAAACCCUAGCCCCACACGCCAGCGCGGCCGCGAACCCCGGCCGAUCGGCGCCGAUGAGAGGCGGGAGGCGCGGGACGGGGAGAGUGCGGCGGGGAGGCGGCGCCGCCGCCGCCGCUCGGCCGCCGCGGGGCGAGCGCGCCGCCGGCGUCCAGGUCAUCGUACUCAGCGACGAUGAUGUGAAGUCAGCACCGCAGCAACCCACCGAAAGGAGAAAUUGCGGAGGAAUGCGCGGCAGAUGAUUUCAACGCGCUCCCAUGUGAUUCCACCAAGGAAGUUUCCACAAAGAACCUGGGACGUCUUAGAAAGCGAACAGCUGCUGGCGGUGCUGCAACUUCUGAGUUGCAUGAGGAUGAGCUAAAGGUUGCUGAUGUCAAGCUGAGCAAUGAUGAAGACUGGUCAUAAUGGGGAGUAUCAUAAUGCGUAUAAUGACGAGCGUGAUCGAGGCGUGGCGCCUCCUGGACUCCGUCCGUCGCCGCUUUGGCGACGACGUCCCCGCCGCUGGGCAGGAAGAGUGUUUCCACGCCUUCAACCUCCAUGUCCACGAUGUCAUACUCGAUGCCCACCUGCAAGGUCAGCCUCCCAUCCUCCCGGUCCUUCCCAGCAAAUUAAUCUGGACUUCAACCAUGAAUUAAACGUCCUGGUCUCUAAUGGGAACUUUUUUGUUACUGAACUUCGUAAUUGGUUUGCAUAAAAUCUGAGGUCUGUCUGACAUAUUUUACUUGACCACGCGGUUCGCUUCAGAAUUCUACUUUAUGUGAGCAUUACUUUCUUAGUCUAUCUGAUUUACUUGGAGGAGUAUUUAAUUACACGUAUGUAUAGUACAAGUUGUUAUUUCCUAAUAAUUUUGAUGGCCUCUAAGCAUCGUUGUUCAUGUCUAUUAUUAUUUAUGAAAGCUACAUGUCUUGGAGGGAAGUUGCGACUUGAGGGAGUGAGCUCCCAUUCUCUCAAUUUCUUGGCGUGGCCAUGCUUGCAGUACUGAUAAGACAUGCUUCAAAAAUGGAGGAGGGAGGACGUGAGCUGCUACCUUGGUUCCUGUCCGCACCAGCUGCCACAGUAUGUAAUCAGGCCUCCACUAUCGUCGUCUGAAUUUUGGGUUACAUGCAUCUACAAGAGCGUGAGAGCUUGAGAGGGUAGCACAAUUCUACAUAGAAGUUAUUUUUCUCCAUGAAGUUGAUCAUGCGAAGCUGGUGCCAGAUAGAAGAUUGGGCAUCAAAGUAGACGACAAAGGAUGACAACCGAUUAAGUUCUGCACCUUAAUCCACUUACAACUUAUAAGUUGAUUGAUACUUUUCAUUUUAUAUUGAUGUGCUUCCAACGAGAACAAUUUUUUCACCGGAUGUGUUUCAUUACAUAUGCCAUUUUAUUUGUGUGAAGUCUUUCAGACUUUCUUUUGAUUCUUUAUUUUAACGGCCUGAAAAAGGAUUAUAAGUAAUGUUGGGUUCCCGACGGGACAAGGUAGGAAGAGAAGCAAAUCAUAACCUUUAGGUUCAUGGUCUAGGAGCAGGAAAGUACACGUCCAUCUUUGUGGUAUUCUCAUAUGAAUAAGCAUAAUACUACGUACAUAAUCUCUCAAUUGUGUAGACAGGUCAUCAAGUAAUGGUUAGUAAUUCAUAAUUCUGCUUCACCUUUAUGUUAAUGAUCCGCUUUUAAGUGUGUUGCCAAAGUGAGCAUCAAAUUGCAGGAAUCUCAAUCUUUUUUCUAUAUUUCUCGCAAGGCUCUUGUACGGUAGAUAUUUUUGCUUGGUCAUAAAUGAAUUAGUCCCAUGCUCUGACAGUAAGAUAAUGGAGCUAGGUGGACGAACAUUGGCAUUGAUGCCAAGAUUAUCUGACAUCUUGCUGUAGUAGUGUCUUAACUGGAUAUGUUUAUAGUUCUAAAAUCAAUGUUCAUCAGCAUCCAGCCUUCUAACUAAAAAGUAUUUUCGCAAGGGCUUGUCUGCACCGGUACGCUCUCUCGCUGGUACGCGAUUUGAGGCAUAGGAGCGAGGGGCACGUUGCGAGGUCGUCUUCAGUCACGGCUACAACUUAUGACGAGAAGGGGAUUUAUGCUUAGUAGGCUGCCCUGUGGUUAGCAAGUCAUUGUCGCAGUCUCCGCCUCCCAGGUUGCCUCGGCUUGCUGUUGGUGUGUGUUGCUGCAACAGCCCCUUCCGGCCACCUCUGAGGUUGGGCAAUGUGGCCACUGAUGUCAAGGGCGUCGCCAUCUUACUUGCAAGGCACAAAUUGCACCGCACGCAACAUCUUGCUAUGCAUGGCCACUGAUGCCAAAGAGAACCAAGCGCCUUGACGUACUAUAUAAAGAGAUCAUGUGAAAACAAAGCUGAAGUUCUUGAUCAGGAUGAGAAGGAAAGUGGUCUUCGAGCAACACUAAUCCUGGGUCAUACAUUUGGUCACAUAAUAUGUUCGAGCAUUGUUGUUUUUAUGUUGAGUUUAUCUGUCUUGCAUUACGAUGGUCCAUGUAAACAUAUUUGGAUGAAUUGACAGCCCACUAAGAAGUUUGCUUUAUUUUUGUUGCUACUGCCUACUUUAUUGAAGCAUUUGAUGGAGAUGACUCAUGUACUCACUUUGUUGCUUGCUAAAAUAGAAAAGAAUACAACGAAGAAUAGUAUUUA